rnacentral:lncRNA from 1 species
GGGCCUUUGGGUAAAGCUGCUUGCUAUUGAGCUUGAACCCAUAAAGCUGGUUCCCGAGUUCCACACUGCUGUACACACAUCACACACACAGAAUGCUGCGAGUGCCAGGCUGUGGCUUAGCUCUUCCUGCACUGUGACCUUCUCCAUCCUGGCCCUGUGUAUGCUUCCAUGAGACAGGUCAGGCAUGCUGGGACAAGGUGAGUCCAUGUUCUGUUCUGGGUGCUGCCUCUGCCGACGAGGUUCCAGGCACGCUGUUUUUCUCAUGUUCUUCUGUCACACGUCAUUCCCCCUUCAGCUCAAGUUAAUGUUGAGGUCCUUCCCAGCUCUCUUCUUGAGGAAGCUUUUUGAGUUGUGUCUUUAGCUAUUUUCCUUUCUGUUUCCCUCUGCAUGAUUUGACCGCUGUGUGUGUUUAGUUUUGAGUUUGUACUACAGAAGUUAAGGAUUUGGGGUCCUUUGUGCCCUCCCCAUUCUUAGAGUAGGUUUAGAACAGAUUCCUAGCUAUGGAUUUCCAGUGUGGGACAUCAUUGUUUGCUUAUUCAUCACAAAGUCCAGAGUCCCCUGAAGGGUGACUUAGAAGAGUGGAAUAUCCUUACACUUCUUUUCAUAAGACCUGUAAACAAGUUUGCUUCGGAGAGCAAACCAUGGAGCUGUGUUGGUUGACCGAGAUAGAGGCUUCCUGCCCUUUUGAUGUUAAGAGAGAAGUUUUGAAAUACUUAGGUUUUAGAAGUGUGUGAAAGUCCAGUGAUUCUUGUAACAGUUUAUAUUUGCCCAGUGUCUGUCUGUAUCAGGAUUUAUUACUGAGUAGGUGUUGAAGUCUGAGCAGCUGGUAUUUUAGUCGUUUACUUGGUUCAGACAUGCUCCUUUGGGAACUGGACCACACAGUGGCUCCCUGUAUUUCUGGGUGCUGUGCUGUAGCUGGUUAGGAAAACAGAACAGACUGCAAGAUCUUAACAUCAUUUGUGCUCAAAGCACAAAGAAGGAAGCCUUCUGAAGCACGGUGGUUGAAGUGUUGUGUGUGAUUGAAACUGGUCAGUGCUGCUACCAUUGACACUUGGGUAUUUACAUGCAAGACCAUGGAGAUUUAUAACUGUGUAUAGUUGGAGACAGUGGGCUAAAUAUUUCUUCUAGCUGGGAUUUAAAGAUUAGUAUGUUCAAGAAACAGGCUUUUCUGAAUGAGGAAACUGGCUUUACUAGAGAACUCCGAGGUCUGUCUCAGUAAAAAAUGUGGCAUCUCCUCACCUUUGUUUCUUAUUAAAAAUUACAAAAUCUACACUGAUACUCUGUCUUCAAUAGCAAGUCACUGGUGAGCUGCUUCCCUCUCCUACAGAUAUUUUGGGUCCUCUACUCUCCCCCCCCCCCCCCGGAGUCAGUGCCCUGCUGCAGAGCUCUGUACUUGGCAAGGGUUCCGCAUGAAGGGGCAUCAGUGCUAAGUAGUGCACCUGUCCUGUCGGCUUCCUGCUGGCUAAGAGCUGGCAGGACUGACUUCUGGGUGAGCGACUCUCUGAGGAUGCUCCAUGAGCAUCUCAGGCAUGUUUGGCUAACACAGAAUGUUGCUUUAUCAAAGAACAAGCCUUUAGUACCGUUGAAGUGCUUCUUGGCUCCAAUCUCUGGAGGCAUGUAGCC